rnacentral:rRNA from 1 species
UACGUAGGGUCCGAGCGUUGUCCGGAAUUACUGGGCGUAAAGAGCUCGUAGGUGGUUUGUCGCGUUGUUCGUGAAAACUCACAGCUUAACUGUGGGCGUGCGGGCGAUACGGGCAGACUUGAGUACUGCAGGGGAGACUGGAAUUCCUGGUGUAGCGGUGGAAUGCGCAGAUAUCAGGAGGAACACCGGUGGCGAAGGCGGGUCUCUGGGCAGUAACUGACGCUGAGGAGCGAAAGCGUGGGGAGCGAAUAGG